rnacentral:misc_RNA from 1 species
GUAGGUGAACCUGCGGAGGGAUCAUUACCGAGUGAGAGCCUCGUGCUCGACCUCCAACCCCUUGUGAAAAAUUCUCAUGUUUCCUCGGGGGCGACCCGUCCUUUACGCCGGGGCCCCCGGUGGAUCUCUUAACUCUGCGUCUUCGCGUCUGAGUCUUAAAGCAAACCAAUCAAAACUUUCAACAACGGAUCUCUUGGUUCUG